GAAAUGCGAUAAGUAAUGUGAAUUGCAGAAUUCAGUGAAUCAUCGAGUCUUUGAACGCACAUUGCGCCCCCUGGUAUCCCGGGGGGCAUGCCUGUCCGAGCGUCAUUGCUGCCCUCAAGCACGGCUUGCGUGUUGGGCCCUCGUCCCCCCGGGGACGGGCCCGAAAGGCAGCGGCGGCACCGCGUCCGGUCCUCGAGCGUAUGGGGCUUCGUCACCCGCUCUGUAGGCCCGGCCGGCGCCUGCCGACGACCACAUCAAUCUUUUUUUUUCCAGGUUGACCUCGGAUCAGGUAGGGAUACCCGCUGAACUUAA
rnacentral:misc_RNA from 1 species